rfam:Gossypium arboreum cultivar AKA8401 contig_5875_3, whole genome shotgun sequence.
AAUCCAUGCAUCAGAAAUUUCUAAAUUAGGUCUUUAAAUCAUUCCCAAGCUUUAUAUAGUGUUUCUUCCUCCAAUUGCCGAAAAGAUGUGAUGUCAUUUCUAAGCUU